rnacentral:rRNA from 1 species
AACGAACGCUGGCGGCAGGCUUAACACAUGCAAGUCGAGCGCCCCGCAAGGGGAGCGGCAGACGGGUGAGUAACGCGUGGGAAUCUACCCAUCUCUACGGAAUAACGCAUGGAAACGUGUGCUAAUACCGUAUACGUCCUUCGGGAGAAAGAUUUAUCGGAGAUGGAUGAGCCCGCGUUGGAUUAGAUAGUUGGUGGGGUAAAGGCCUACCAAGGCGACGAUCCAUAGCUGGUCUGAGAGGAUGAACAGCCACACUGGGACUGAGACACGGCCCAGACUCCUACGGGAGGCAGCAGUGGGGAAUAUUGGACAAUGGGCGCAAGCCUGAUCCAGCCAUGCCGCGUGAGUGAUGAAGGCCCUAGGGUUGUAAAGCUCUUUCACCGGUGAAGAUAAUGACGGUAACCGGAGAAGAAGCCCCGGCUAACUUCGUGCCAGCCGCCGCAGUAACAC